rnacentral:RNase_P_RNA from 2 species
GGAGUCGGCCGGACAGUCGCUGGGCAGAGCGUGGCGCUUGCGCUGCUUUGCACGGAGGAAAGUCCGGGCUCCACAGGGCAGGGUGCCAGGUAACGCCUGGGGGGCGCGAGCCUACGGAAAGUGCCACAGAAAAUACACCGCCUAAGUAGCCUUUUGGGCUGCCGGUAAGGGUGAAAUGGUGCGGUAAGAGCGCACCGCGUCGGUGGCAACAUCGACGGCAGGGUAAACCCCACCUGGAGCAAGACCAAAUAGGGGAGCAGGCGGCUGCGGCUGCCACGUGUGGCCCACACGGUUCCCGGGUAGGUCGCUAGAGGUGCGCGGUGACGCGCAUCCCAGAUGAAUGACUGUCCCCGACAGAACCCGGCUUACAGGCCGGCUCCCAUU